rnacentral:rRNA from 1 species
AGAGUUUGAUCAUGGCUCAGAAUGAACGCUGGCGGCAUGCCUAACACAUGCAAGUCGAACGAAGCCUUCGGGCUUAGUGGCGCACGGGUGCGUAACGCGUGGGAAUCUGCCCUUGGGUUCGGAAUAACAGUUAGAAAUGACUGCUAAUACCGAAUGAUGUCGUAAGACCAAAGAUUUAUCGCCAGGGAUGAGCCCGCGUAGGAUUAGCUAGUUGGUGUGGUAAAGGCGCACCAAGGCGACGAUCCUUAGCUGGUCUGAGAGGAUGAUCAGCCACACUGGGACUGAGACACGGCCCAGACUCCUACGGGAGGCAGCAGUGGGGAAUAUUGGACAAUGGCGAAAGCCUGAUCCAGCAAUGCCGCGUGAGUGAUGAAGGCCUUAGGGUUGUAAAGCUCUUUACCCGGGAUGAUAAUGACAGUACCGGGAGAAUAAGCUCCGGCUAACUCCGUG